GAUGAACGCUGGCGGCGUGCCUAAUACAUGCAAGUCGAGCGAACGGACGAGAAGCUUGCUUCUCUGAUGUUAGCGGCGGACGGGUGAGUAACACGUGGAUAACCUACCUAUAAGACUGGGAUAACUUCGGGAAACCGGAGCUAAUACCGGAUAAUAUUUUGAACCGCAUGGUUCAAAAGUGAAAGACGGUCUUGCUGUCACUUAUAGAUGGAUCCGCGCUGCAUUAGCUAGUUGGUAAGGUAACGGCUUACCAAGGCAACGAUGCAUAGCCGACCUGAGAGGGUGAUCGGCCACACUGGAACUGAGACACGGUCCAGACUCCUACGGGAGGCAGCAGUAGGGAAUCUUCCGCAAUGGGCGAAAGCCUGACGGAGCAACGCCGCGUGAGUGAUGAANGUCUUCGGAUCGUNAAACUCUGUUAUUAGGGAAGAACAUAUGUGUAAGUAACUGUGCACAUCUUGACGGUACCUAAUCAGAAAGCCACGGCUAACUACGUGCCAGCAGCCGCGGUAAUACGUAGGUGGCAAGCGUUAUCCGGAAUUAUUGGGCGUAAAGCGCGCGUAGCGGUUUUUUAAGUCUGAUGUGAAAGCCCACGGCUCACCCGUGGAGGGUCAUUGGAAACUGGAAAACUUGAGUGCAGAAGAGGAAAGUGGAAUUCCAUGUGUAGCGGUGAAAUGCGCAGAGAUAUGGAGGAACACCAGUGGCGAAGGCGACUUUCUGGUCUGUAACUGACGCUGAUGUGCGAAAGCGUGGGGAUCAAACAGGAUUAGAUACCCUGGUAGUCCACGCCGUAAACGAUGAGUGCUAAGUGUUAGGGGGUUUCCGCCCCUUAGUGCUGCAGCUAACGCAUUAAGCACUCCGCCUGGGGAGUACGACCGCAAGGUUGAAACUCAAAGGAAUUGACGGGGACCCGCACAAGCGGUGGAGCAUGUGGUUUAAUUCGAAGCAACGCGAAGAACCUUACCAAAUCUUGACAUCCUUUGACAACUCUAGAGAUAGAGCCUUCCCCUUCGGGGGACAAAGUGACAGGUGGUGCAUGGUUGUCGUCAGCUCGUGUCGUGAGAUGUUGGGUUAAGUCCCGCAACGAGCGCAACCCUUAAGCUUAGUUGCCAUCAUUAAGUUGGGCACUCUAAGUUGACUGCCGGUGACAAACCGGAGGAAGGUGGGGAUGACGUCAAAUCAUCAUGCCCCUUAUGAUUUGGGCUACACACGUGCUACAAUGGACAAUACAAAGGGCAGCGAAACCGCGAGGUCAAGCAAAUCCCAUAAAGUUGUUCUCAGUUCGGAUUGUAGUCUGCAACUCGACUACAUGAAGCUGGAAUCGCUAGUAAUCGUAGAUCAGCAUGCUACGGUGAAUACGUUCCCGGGUCU
rnacentral:rRNA from 1 species